UACGUAGGUGACAAGCGUUGUCCGGAUUUACUGGGCGUAAAGAGCGCGCAGGCGGUCCUUCAAGUCGAGUGUGAAAGCCCCCGGCUCAACUGGGGAGGGUCAUUCGAUACUGAUCGACUCGAAGGCAGGAGAGGGUAGUGGAAUUCCCGGUGUAGUGGUGAAAUGCGUAGAUAUCGGGAGGAACACCAGUGGCGAAGGCGACUACCUGGCCUGUUCUUGACGCUGAGGCGCGAAAGCUAGGGGAGCAAACGGG
rnacentral:rRNA from 1 species